UGGGGAGUAGUGUAACGGCAGCACAAGGGGCUUUGGACCCCUACGUCCAGGUUCGAGUCCUGGCUCCCCAG
rnacentral:tRNA from 1 species